rnacentral:misc_RNA from 1 species
GGAAGGACUGCAGCAAGAACUCGAAGAAUGUAAAGAUGAUGAUGUAGUUACGAACAUACUUUCUAAAGGUGUAAAACUAAGGGAGUACACAAAGGGAGUUGAAAACAAUCUGCGGCAGGUUGAGCUGGAUUCCAUACAGGAAUACAUUAAAGAAAGUGAUAACUUAGUUUCACUUCAUGAACAAAUUCGUGACUGCGAUAACAUUUUAUCACAGAUGGAAACUCUUCUCA